CGGGGUGUGGCGCAGCUUGGAAGCGCGCCUGCAUGGGGUGCAGGAGGUCGUUGGUUCGAAUCCAAUCACCCCGACCA
rnacentral:tRNA from 2 species